rnacentral:rRNA from 1 species
UACGAAGGGGGCUAGCGUUGCUCGGAAUCACUGGGCGUAAAGCGCACGUAGGCGGAUCGCUAAGUCAGGGGUGAAAUCCUGGAGCUCAACUCCAGAACUGCCUUUGAUACUGGCAAUCUCGAGUCCGGGAGAGGUGAGUGGAACUGCGAGUGUAGAGGUGAAAUUCGUAGAUAUUCGCAAGAACACCAGUGGCGAAGGCGGCUCACUGGCCCAUUACUGACGCUGAGGCACGAAAGCGUGGGGAGCAAACAGG